ACUGUGGGGAAGGGCAAACACAUUGAAUUUCAACCUCAUGUGUUUCCUUUAUAGGUAUGUGAAUAUUGCCUCUGAGAUCCUGUUAUAUUUCCCAGUAUGUCGCCAUUCAGGAGAAAUUCGGUGAACCAGCGGCAGAUUUCAAUUGCUGGGAGUAGGGUUUCAAGAACCUGCAUGGAGAAGGAUGAAGUUUCCUCUUCAGAGGUCCAUAUCACAGCAAUUCCAGAUCUCCAAAGUCUCUGAGCUCUAAAAUUGUAUGACUUGCUUACAAAUGAAGAUAAGAAAAAUCAUCCCCAGCUGUUGUAAGAAGUACAUCCAGUAACAAGGAAG
rnacentral:lncRNA from 1 species